rnacentral:rRNA from 1 species
AUUGAACGCUGGCGGCAGGCCUAACACAUGCAAGUCGAGCGGAUGAAGGGAGCUUGCUCCUGGAUUCAGCGGCGGACGGGUGAGUAAUGCCUAGGAAUCUGCCUGGUAGUGGGGGAUAACGUCCGGAAACGGGCGCUAAUACCGCAUACGUCCUGAGGGAGAAAGUGGGGGAUCUUCGGACCUCACGCUAUCAGAUGAGCCUAGGUCGGAUUAGCUAGUUGGUGGGGUAAAGGCCUACCAAGGCGACGAUCCGUAACUGGUCUGAGAGGAUGAUCAGUCACACUGGAACUGAGACACGGCCCAGACUCCUACGGGAGGCAGCAGUGGGGAAUAUUGGACGAUGCGCGAAAGCCUGAUCCAGCCAUGCCGCGUGUGUGAAGAAGGUCUUCGGAUUGUAAAGCACUUUAAGUUGGGAGGAAGGGCAGUAAGUUAAUACCUUGCUGUUUUGACGUUACCAACAGAAUAAGCACCGGCUAACUUCGUG